GUAGGUGAACCUGCGGAGGGAUCAUUACACAAUAUGAAAGCGGGCUGGCAUCCUUCGGGGUUACAGCCUUGCUGAAUUAUUCACCCGUGUCUUUUGCGUACUUCUUGUUUCCUUGGUGGGUUCGCCCACCAUAGGACAAACCAUAAACCUUUUGUAAUUGCAAUCAGCGUCAGUAAAAAAAAUUAAUAAUUACAACUUUUAACAACGGAUCUCUUGGUUCUGGCAUCGAUGAAGAACGCAGCAUCUGACU
rnacentral:misc_RNA from 1 species